CCCUUAGAUGUUCUGGGCUGCACGCGCGCUACACUGGUGCGUUCAGCGAGUUUAGCACCUUAACAGAUAUGUUUGGGUAAUCUUCUGAAAACGCACCGUGAUGGGGAUCGAUUAUUGUAAUUAUUAAUCGUCAACGAGGAAUUCCUAGUAAGUGUUAAUCAUCAGUUCGCGCUGAUUACGUCCCUGCCCUUUGUACACACCGCCCGUCGCUGCUACCGAUUGAGUGGUCCGGUGAAUUAUUCGGACCGGUGGACUGUGGGGAAACCCGCGGCCUGCUGGGAAGUCUUGUGAACCUUAUCACUUAGAGGAAGCAGAAGUCGUAACA
rnacentral:rRNA from 1 species